UACAGAGACUGCAAGCGUUAUUCGGAUUCACUGGGCGUAAAGGGUGCGCAGGCGGUCAAGUGUGUCAGGUGUGAAAUCCCGAGGCUUAACCUCGGAACUGCGCCCGAAACUACUUGGCUAGAGUACUGGAGAGGGUAACGGAAUUCACGGUGUAGCAGUGAAAUGCGUAGAUAUCGUGAGGAACACCAGAGGCGAAGGCGGUUACCUGGACAGUUACUGACGCUCAGGCACGAAAGCGUGGGGAGCAAAAAGG
rnacentral:rRNA from 1 species